rnacentral:rRNA from 1 species
GACGAACGCUGGCGGCGUGCCUAAUACAUGCAAGUUGAACGCUGAAGGAUGGUACUUGUACCAACUGGAUGGGCAGGGAACGGGUGAGUAACGAGUGGGGCAUCUUCCAUUGUGCGGGGGACAACAUUUGGAAAAGACUGCUACUACCACAUCAAAACAUUAAACACAAGUAUUAAGUUUGAAAGAUGCAAUUGCAUCACUCAAAGAUGAACCCGCGGUGUGUUAGCUAGUUGGUGAGGGAAAGGCUCACCAAGGCGAUGGUACAUAGCCGACCCGGGAGGGUGAUCGGCCACAUUGGGACUGAGACACCGCCCCAACUCCUUCGGGGGGCAGCAGUAGGGAAUCUUCGGCCAAUGACGAAAGUCUGACUGAACAACUCCGGGUGAGUGAAGGAGGUUCUCGGAUCUGAAAACUCUGUUUGUAGAGAAAGACGUGCGGGAGGUUGGAAAGCUGAUCAAGUGACGGUAACUACAGAGAAAGCGACGGCUAACUACGUG